GACCAAGGAGUCUAACAUGUGCGCGAGUCACUGGGAAUACAAAGAUAAACCUACUGGCGCAGUGAAAGCGGGGCCUCCGGGCUCUGGGAGGAUGGCGCGCAGGGCUCUGGCCCUGUCGUCCGCACUCCCGGGGCGCGUAGUACAUCCGUAUUACGCGCACCCCGAGCGUACACGUUGGGACCCGAAAGAUGGUGAACUAUGCCUGGUCAGGACGAAGUCAGGGGAAACCCUGAUGGAGGUCCGCAGCGAUUCUGACGUGCAAAUCGAUCGUCAGAGCUGGGUAUAGGGGCGAAAGACUAAUCGAACCAUCUAGUAGCUGGUUCCCUCCGAAGUUUCCCUCAGGAUAGCUGGCGUCCAUUUGGACAAGUACGAGUCUCAUCCGGUAAAGCGAAUGAUUAGAGGCCUUGGGGCCGAAACGACCUCAACCUAUUCUCAAACUUUAAAUGGGUGAGAACUCCGGCUUGCUUGAUUGAAGCCGCGAGUUUGGAUUUGGAUCAGGGUGCCAAGUGGGCCAUUUUU
rnacentral:rRNA from 1 species